ensembl:lncRNA
CCGCGGGGGCUGCGUGGCGUGCGCCCGGCCGGGCGUGGCUUGUGCUCGCGGAGUCGUCCCGGCGAGUAGCCCAGCCACUCCACGUUGAGGCGGGCCUUUCCGCGCAGCAUAGUCCUGGGCUGGAGGCGGCGCGGCGCCGCCCCCUGAGCUGCAAUUAGCACCUCUGGUGGCCCCCGUCGCGGAGCUUCGGGAGCUGACCAGUGUAGAAAGCUGUGAGAAAGGACGACCGGGCAGGCGGCUACGGUGCUAGGCAACCGAGCAGUUUCUGACAACACAAAAAAGCAGUGCACGUUAUUCCACCAGCCAUGGUGCAAGCGCCUGCUUAAUGACUGGAAGUCCAGCAGUGGGAAGCGGGAGGAGUUAGUUUACCACUCACCCGAGCCAUAUAACUAGAGAUCUGCCCGUUGAAAGAGUCCUUGUUGAGAGUGACUGGUCCAGGCCAGUAGCUAGUGACCCUAAUUUCCACUUAAAGUUAAAAGCACAUUACGCAGCUGCUCAAAAAGCCACCAAUGAGACAAAAGGGACUCAAAUGGGCUCUUGAUAGUGACAACAGUGGGAACCACUGCUGGGGGCUGUCAUAAAAAAGCAUCAGAAACUAUGUGGCUUAACCAACAGCAGUGAAUCAUCUCUCAGUUUGGACGUCAAAUGUCUGAGACUAAGGUGUUGGCCAGAAAAUAAAUCUUCCAUACCUUUUUGUGGUGAAUUAUACACUGUGCAGACAUUAUUGUGAGCUCAACGAGGUGGACAAGGAACUUUAAGAAUAAACUCAGAAGCUGUAAGAGAAGGAAAGUAUUUAUCCAGCACCCUGCCUCAACAACAAAGCCCUGGAACCUCCCACCUGAAGCAGCUGCUGAAGAGUUAGAAACAAGUGGAGCUCAAACAGACCGUUGCCAUGGGAAUGAAAUGAGAGAUCCUCUAUGAAAGUGGAAGAAAUUUUUAUCAAAUAGCCACUAAGCCCGAAUAUGGCUGCAUCACAGGCAACCAGCUAAAGGGACUGCAAGACAGAAAGAAAGGAAAACACGCUGAGUCACCCAGCUGCGGACAGGCAGGAAGAAGGAGCUCACUGCCUCCCAAGAGACCCAGAUUGUUUGUCCCAUCUCCAGGAGUGGCCUGCGGGUGGCACGGAUCAGCGCAAGGACCCCUCCCUGUUUGGGAUGCUGACCUCUGUAAAUCCCAC